rnacentral:rRNA from 1 species
AGUGAACGCUGGCGGUAGGCCUAACACAUGCCAGUCGAACGGCAGCACAGUAAGAGCUUGCUCUUACGGGUGGCGAGUGGCGGACGGGUGAGGAAUACAUCGGAAUCUACUUUUUCGUGGGGGACAACGUAGGGAAACUUACGCUAAUACCGCAUACGACCUACGGGUGAAAGCAGGGGAUCUUCGGACCUUGCGCGAUUGAAUGAGCCGAUGUCGGAUUAGCUAGUUGGCGGGGUAAAGGCCCACCAAGGCGACGAUCCGUAGCUGGUCUGAGAGGAUGAUCAGCCACACUGGAACUGAGACACGGUCCAGACUCCUACGGGAGGCGGCAGUGGGGAAUAUUGGACAAUGGGCGCAAGCCUGAUCCAGCCAUACCGCGUGGGUGAAGAAGGCCUUCGGGUUGUAAAGCCCUUUUGUUGGGAAAGAAAAGCAGCAGGUUAAUACCCCGCUGUUCUGACGGUACCCAAAGAAUAAGCACCGGCUAACUUCGUG